CCUACGGGUGGCAGCAGUGGGGAAUAUUGGACAAUGGGCGAAAGCCUGAUCCAGCCAUGCCGCGUGUGUGAAGAAGGCCUUCGGGUUGUAAAGCACUUUCAGUGGGGAAGAAAGCCUUGGGGCUAAUACCCUCGAGGAAGGACAUCACCCACAGAAGAAGCACCGGCUAACUCCGUGCCAGCAGCCGCGGUAAUACGGAGGGUGCGAGCGUUAAUCGGAAUUACUGGGCGUAAAGCGCGCGUAGGCGGUCUGAUAAGCCGGUUGUGAAAGCCCCGGGCUCAACCUGGGAACGGCAUCCGGAACUGUCAGGCUAGAGUGCAGGAGAGGAAGGUAGAAUUCCCGGUGUAGCGGUGAAAUGCGUAGAGAUCGGGAGGAAUACCAGUGGCGAAGGCGGCCUUCUGGACUGACACUGACGCUGAGGUGCGAAAGCGUGGGUAGCAAACAGGAUUAGAUCCCUAGUAGUC
rnacentral:rRNA from 1 species